rnacentral:rRNA from 1 species
UGAGGAAUAUUGGUCAAUGGAGGCAACUCUGAACCAGCCAAGUCGCGUGAAGGAUGAAGGUCUUAUGGAUUGUAAACUUCUUUUGCAAGGGGAUAAAGUGGGGGACGUGUCCUCCUUUGCAUGUACCUUGCGAAUAAGGAUCGGCUAACUCCGUGCCAGCAGCCGCGGUAAUACGGAGGAUCCGAGCGUUAUCCGGAUUUAUUGGGUUUAAAGGGUGCGCAGGCGGGAUGUUAAGUCGGCGGUGAAAUUUUGCAGCUCAACUGUAAAAGUGCCUUCGAUACUGGCUUUCUUGAGUGUGGAUGAAGUAGGCGGAAUUUGUGGUGUAGCGGUGAAAUGCUUAGAUAUCACGAGGAACUCCGAUUGCGCAGGCAGCUUACUAAACCACUACUGACGCUCAUGC